UACAGAGGGUGCAAGCGUUAAUCGGAAUUACUGGGCGUAAAGCGCGCGUAGGUGGUUUGUUAAGUUGGAUGUGAAAGCCCCGGGCUCAACCUGGGAACUGCAUUCAAAACUGACAAGCUAGAGUAUGGUAGAGGGUGGUGGAAUUUCCUGUGUAGCGGUGAAAUGCGUAGAUAUAGGAAGGAACACCAGUGGCGAAGGCGGCUACCUGGCCCAAUACUGACACUCAGGUGCGACAGCGUGGGGAGCAAACAGG
rnacentral:rRNA from 1 species